UUCAGGUGCAACUCGCAAAAAAAAAAAAAAGAAAAUGAAGUUCAUCUCUUCGGUACUGGUACUGCUGCUGGCCUUUACGGCAACUCAAGCCGGAGGUCCGACAAAAGAUCCUAAACGUUGGUGCAGACUCAAUUUGGGUCCCGCUUGGGGAGGCAGAGUUUGUUGACAUAGAACAGUGGUUUCUGUUAAUAAAUAAAAUCAUCAUUAAAUGUGUGUAAAUGAUAGUACAACACAAAAUAUCCAAA